GCUGCGGUCACACUUGGGCAGCCCUAGUGUGUGGGCGGCACUGAAGUUAGGACUCAGUGCUGCAGGGUGGCUCUCUCCUGCCUGGGACACUGUGAGAACCCAGACUGAGCUCUGGGAACAGACAGAAAGGGACCAGCUCAUACCCACCAUCUCGAUGACACUUCCUGGGAGCUGGCACAGGGCGUGGCAAGGAGUAAGUAAACAGGAGGGGUCUGCCCUCGGAGAGCUAUAAUCCUCUAUGGAAGGCUGAACAGACAGUAAUAAAAUGCUACGUGGCCACGGGUUGUCUGGGUCAGUGUUCCACGGCUGCGGCGAACACCUGGAAAUGUCAACUCAAGAAAGCAAAGAUUUGUUUGGGCUCACACUUUCAAAGUUUACAGUCCGUGAUCAGCUGGCUCCAUCAUUCCCAGAGACCUCAGCCGAUCUAAAUGUGGAAUUGUGGAGCUCAGUCCUGACGAAUACAGCUACUAAACAACUCAAGCACCUAAGGCGCAGGGAACAUUGUGGAAGAAGGGUCGGAAAGAUUGUAAAAGUCAGAGGAUCAGGGAGUUUGCUUUGAGACUGUGUCUCCUACUAAUGUCAAAAGCUACACCCACACACCACUGGUAAGACCUACCUAAAUAUGAGCUGAACAAGGACAACAAGAGACAUGCUAACGUGGGCAGGGGAAAGGCCUCAACUCCACACAGAGACCUACAGGCCACUAAGGAAUGUCAACAGUGGGGGAAAUCAUCUUCUCUCAGAAGAGCACACCAAUUGGCUAGUCAUUACCAAAUGGUCAACCCUGAAAACACAAACAAGUGACAUUAUACAGACUGAUAGGCGUGCCCUUAGGAACGU